GGGUUUUGUUCUUCUUUUUGCAGAAGAAGAAGAAGAAAUCGAACGAAGAAGAUGAUGACGAAACACCAAGGUGCUGGAGUUGGAAAGCGUACAAGCUUAGCUUAUUUGUAGGUGUUGGAGUUGGAAAGCUCACAGACCAAGGCCACGAAAUCCCAAAGAACUUAUUUUGUUGAUGCAUAGCAAAAUUGGUGGGGAAGAAAAACAUUGUACUACAUUAGGGAACCAAUAAAAAUUCGGAUUUGAUUUCUGUAACUACGCUAGUUCGAGCUUUUGAACUCUUUCUUUUGUGCUGAUGGGCAAUGUUCCUACUUGAACUUUGUUAUUUUGUUGUGUAAUAUGAAACGAGGCAGUGGGGACUUGAGUUUGCUAUAGAGUAUACAGUUCUCAUUAAUUUUUAUGGAA